rnacentral:lncRNA from 1 species
UUUUUUUUUUUUUAAGAUUUUUUUACUUAUUUAUUCAUGAGAAACACAAAGAGAGAAGCAGAGACACAGGCAGAGGGAGAAGCAGGGUCCAUGCAGGGAGCCUGAUGCAGGACUCGAUCCCGGGACUCUGGGAUCACAACCUGAGCCCAAGGCAGACACUGAACCACUGAGCCACCCGGGCAUCCCAAGAGUCUGCAUUUCUAACAAGUUCCCAGGUGACGCUGAUGCUGCUGGUCCAAUGACCCCCUCGGAGAAACUCUGGCUUAAAAGCUUACACCGCCUCUUCAGGGUGGUACAUCGCCACCCAAAGAAAACCGAGUUUCUGCUGGUGAGGGAAAGAAAACAGCAGAUGUCAGUAAAAAUGAAGAUGCUCUGCUGCAGGCUGGUGUUGAGCUUGGUCGAUCUAUCUUUCUCACCUGCUGGACUCUAAGCCUCUGGAAGCAGGGUCAUGAGAGUCACAUUUGGGGCCUGAGGCUCUGAGGCUGAGCUAUGGAGCAUCUCACCACAGAUGUGCAAGGCUGCUGGGCUCUCCGAUAACCCUGAUCAAGGCACCUCCCGUAGCAGCUCCAAGGCCAGGCCAGUCUGCCCCAGUGGGCGCCCCUCCCCAGCAGCCCAUGGGCCUUCCCUGUCCACAUCUCCCCCCCAGGGACGCCUGGCUUCCUGCUCUGAACUGCCCUGCGGGACCAGCACUCUGCCUGUGGAUAACCCAAGAAUGGCACUGUUUGGGGGUCUUUGCUGCUGCCUGCACCCAGGUGGACGCAGACAGACUGUGGCCAUCCGUCCCCAGUAGCAUCUGUUAAUGGUCCAUGGGGUGUGGUCUCCAUUCAAGGCAAAGAAACAAGCCUUCAUCCAGUAUUUUCUGAGCAGACAACACCGAGAGCUCCUAUGGCCCUGCUCAUCUCUCCUUUUGAAGCAGAGUGACUGCAACUGCCAACAGGCAUUCAGAUUCCUUUAUCCACAGGUUGCUGGUGAGGAAUAAGAUCAAUGAAGCAAGAGCUGUCCUGCAGUUCACUCAUUGACUCUGCACUCUUACGUUUGAUCCAGAUGACAGUCUUGGAGGGAAGACAGUGGGGCGAGAUUUGGAUGCCCAUUUUACAGAUGAGGCUCGAGAAUGCACGAGGCCCAAGGCCGAGCAGCAGGAAGCUGCACCAGAGCCCAAGCCCUCUGACCAUGAGCACAUGACGAAUUUCGUAAGAUCUGGCUGUGAAUGGAUGGACGAACCGUAAGUGGUUUCCUGCUUCAAUCAAAGGAGUGAGUGAGCAAGAGAACAGAGCUCACCCUGUGACUGCAUUUGCCACACAAAAUGGUUCCCUUGUGGUUGGGGCCCCAGGCCAGCAUUAGUGCAUGUAGGUGGCUGGGGAUCUGUUGAUAUUUUUCCAUCUAACCCUGAGUUUGGAAGGUGGAUGAAGGUUCUAGAGUCUGGGCUCCUUGCAACCUGGGACACGUCACUUCCCCUUGCUGAUACUUGGUUCCCUAACUAUAAGGACAAGGGUAGAAUGAGAGACACGGAGUGCUCGGCCUGUUGUCCAGCCUGCCGCAGGUGGAGCAGGUGUUUGUCUUGUGUUUGUGGCCACCCAAUCCCCUCUCUCUAACAUCCCAUGAUGAUUCUCACCUUCCCAGGCCAAUUCCAGAAACUCAAAUCCCCGCACUUCACAGUUGGGAUGCAGUCAUGUGGCCCAGGUUCUGCUAAUCAGACACACCCAUGGGAGACAGGACUUCAGUAUGUGGCUUUGUGUGGUGGUGGCUGUGCCCAAGGGAUCUGAGCUUCUAGAAAACACUGUGGCGAAGCUUUCAGUUCUUCCUGGAGCUCAGCAGUGACUGAGCCUUCAGAGUCCAAGCCCAAUGUCAUCAGGAUGGACGCGGCGGCAGUGCGGUGUUGCCAGAGCAGCCCCUACGGUGUGGUUGAAGUCUUUCCUGGCUGUCCAGCUUCAAAGCCUGCAUUCUGACCCUUCUGAGGAUCUGAGGAUACUUAAGAACUUUCAACAAAACCCCUUUCUUGUCUUCGCUAGCCAAAGGGGGUCUCCCAUCAGCAACCACGUUCCUACUGACAUACGCCGUAAGCGAUCACUGCGAAGGGGGGUGAUCUAUGCCUAAGUGCUCUCUCCAAGGUGAAGGGGACAGACCAGGAUAAAUCCAGCUCAUGGCAGAGGCCUCUGCUGCCGUCUUGGUCGGCAGCCCAGCUCUCAUGGGCACGGCACCUGCCCGAGCCACAGACGACCGGAUAUAAGCACAAAUGGAUGAGUCACCAGGAGCAAUCACAGGACGAGGAUAAGCCUGGGUGCCAAGUGACAGAGAUGUUGCCAAGCCAUGCAAGGGACGGCACCGUGACUGACAGGAGGCACUUCUCAGGCCUGAGCCAUGGGGCGAGGUAAGGUCCUGCUGGAAGGAAGGUAAAGGCACACUUUGGGUGGCUAGAAGGGACCAGCCCUGGACACUGAGCAGGACAGAGCUACCCCAGCCACUCUGCAGAGUCCUCCCAGGCUCAGAGAACUGUGCCAAGGUGGAAGGAGCAGAACUCCUGGGUCCUUCAGUCUCCUCUGUGUUGGGCCCGCAGUGUAUCCCUGGGGAUGGUGCUUCAGAAGCCUCUGGGGACAGUGACUCCCGUGUGCCGGGCUCUGGGCCACGCCGGGGGAGGGGGGGGGUCAUGUAGGCAGGCUCCCCCACAGCUAUCCCAGUUCCUAGCCCCCAUCCUCCAAGGUGGACACCUGGAGUGUGCCCCUUCCUCCUUAUCCCCGCCUCCCCCCUCAUGCACCCCCAGCACUAUCCACAGCCCAUAUGGACCCUUCUAGGCCUGGGCCUGGGCUUUGGCCAACCCAUCCCAGCAGCCCUCCAUCCCUAUCCCCACCCACCUCACCCUUCCCACCUUCCCCACAACCACUAAUCCUCUGGGGUUUUAUUUACAAUCUUUUAAGUUACCCACAACACUUACAUCAGUGAGUAGGUGCUGGGGAGCCUCUGCACCCUCUGGGCAAACUUAAGCCACUCUCCUGUGUUUCCUGAGGUCCCCACCCCUGAGCAGGGCUCUCAGCCCCACCACAGAUUAGAAUCGUCUUGGGAGCUUUAAAACAAUCCAUGCCCAUGAGGGACCUUAUUAGGAGGGGUCAUGAGAAAGCUCUAGAACUGAAUUUAUGGUGAUCGUUGCACAACUCGGGAAAUUUAAAAAUCAAUCAGCAUGUGCUUAAAGUGGGUGAAUUUUAUGGUAUGUAAACUAUAUUUCAAUAAAGUUGUUUUUGAAAAAAUACCCACAUCUAGGCCCAUGGCUACCCCCGUUAAAUCAGACUCUCUGGUUCGAGGCCUGGGCUGAGACCCACACUCUAAUGUCAUGGGGACUCCAGGCAUUUCAUUUCACUGCCACCAUCACUCAUAUAUUUACCCUAAGGGAGGAGGAAUGACUCCAUUCAUUUUCUGGGGCUGCCCUAACAACCAUCACAAACUGGGUGGCUUCAAACCACAGAAAUGUAUUCUGUCUUAGAGUCCUGGAGGCCAUAUGUCUGAAAUCAAAAUGUCCUUAGGGUCACACUCUCUCCAGAGGUUCCAGGGAGGAUCCUUCCUUGCCUCCUCCAGCUUCUGGCACUUGCCCACAGUCCUCAGCGUUCCUGGGCUUACAGCUGCAUCCCUCUCGAGCCUGCCUCCUUCCCUGUGUCUAUGUCCCUGUUUUCUCUUCUUACAAGGACACCAGUCAUUGGGCUGGGGGCUCGGGGCUGGGCCCACCCUUAUCCUGUAUGACCUCAUCUUAACUAUUUACAUCUGCAAAGACCCUUUCUCCAAAUAAGGUCACGUUCUGAGAUUCUGGAUGGACCUGAGUUCCAGACAGACACUAUUAUUCAACUCAGUACAGUGAGAACGGGACCCUAGGAAACCUUGCUAGGACCAGAUGACCUGGGGACAGCUGUGGCCCCUUUCUGCCCCACUUCCUACAGUAACUGUGCCUCCAUCAAGACCCCAGGCCUCUUCCAAGAAACAAGUCUAAGGUGCCACCAGGUGCCACCACAGGGACUGUGCAGGUGUGACAUGGUGAUGUCUAUGUGUCAGCUCUGGGGGUUCCUCGGGGGCUCCUGAGCAUGGGGGGGUGGGAAGGAGGAAGAAGAGGAGGAAGAGGCAUGUGGCCCACAAGGCUGGAACCCUUUACUCUGUCCCUUUAUGUUAAAAGUCUACCAACACCGGCCCUAAACCAGGAUGCUUCUCACAGCCUCCACAGUGACCAGGAGAGGAUCAAAAAGGAUACAGAGGUUGUGGACAGAAGUCUGUAUCUUCAGGGUCAAGGUGUAAGAUACCCAUGAAAUGAUGGCAAGUCACACAAGCACACAGCUCCCAACUCAGGCCCGUGACCCAGACAGGGCCAAUUUCAGUGCCCUGUGUUAUGUCCCGGGGCUAAAUGACUUGUUCAGGCAGACAUGUGGAAAAUAAGCCAGGUCAGUGGGAUGCAGUCCUGGAAUUCUGCUUAAAAAAAAAAAAAAA